AAGAAUCGGACCUCCGGGUCUUUUUCUCGUCUCACAGCUGUGCGCUUCGGCUGCACGCCGUGGGACAAACCUCACACACCUGUGCACCACAUCGGUCGCCGACGUCCUCACGGUCGAAGGCUUCCGCUCCACACAUUUAACCACAGUCCAGAAUGUAACUUACCAUAACAUUGA
rnacentral:misc_RNA from 1 species